CUGUCCCCUGCCAGGGAAUGUCCCUCCCGUGCCAGCAGGAGGUGGCUUUGUCCCCUCGGGGUGGCCUUGGGGACACUUUGCUGCUGCUGUCUGAGGUGCUGAAGCUGCACAUUCCCCCCCACCACGGCCAGAAGGAGCUGGAAAAGCAAACUGGUUGUUACUGGUUGAAACUGGAGGCUGAAAUUCUCUUUAUUCACCGAGCAGAGGCACGUGAAUUUUAUGAUAAUUUUGCUUCAUUGCAGCGCUGCAAACUCUGGGGGCCACUUUGAAGCUUUUAAGGAUAAAAUGGAUCCACACCCAGGCUGCAGAGCUCCCAGACUGGAUUUUUUUGGUGUUUUGUUCGAGUUUUCUCCCUCAAACUGGGCUGCUGCAGAGGGAAGGAGCUGUGACUCACUGGGCUUGACUGCUGAGCAGCCAAUAUGGAAUUUAAAGAGGCAAAAACUGGCACAAUUCCCUGAAAACACUGCUGAGUUUCCCAUUUCCCUGCAGAACAGGAGCUGGAAUUCACAGCACAGAACCACAAGAGGAGGAGAAACCUGGGUCAUUUCUCCUGAGUCACCACGAGAGGGACACAGAAGGAAACAAAAGGAGCUGGGAAAUAAAAAACCCAAGGAACAACUCGAGGUUUAAUUUGGGAUAAAUAUUCCCAGAACAGAUCACAGGGAUGAAACACCAUGAAGGAAAAGGAGAGGAAGAUUUGACCAAAAUGCAGAGAUUUGGAAUGAAGAGAGUCCUUAGAAAUUAAGCUCCAGCAGCGAGGAGAUUCCCAGGAUCCCAGAGCUCUGCCUGCACAGGACAAAACAUCCCGAUGUUUCCAGUACAAUUCCAGUUAAUUAUUCCCGGUUUCCUCGGCGUGUCUGGGCUCCCGCUGGCUGCUGGAGGAGGAGGAGCUCAUUGUUACAGAUGAGCUGAAGGCAGAGAUCGGAAUCUUUAUUGUCCUCGUUAGCAAACGCCGUGAAUAGUGCAGGAAAAAAUGCGGGGUUUGAACGAGGGGCUGGGAUCGCGCCAUGGCAUUGACUGCCGGGAUGGGGAUCGCUGGGGCAGGGCGGCUCUGGCAGCAUUCCUGCAUUC